rnacentral:rRNA from 1 species
UACGUAGGGUGCGAGCGUUAAUCGGAAUUACUGGGCGUAAAGCGUGCGCAGGCGGUUUUGUAAGCCGGAUGUGAAAUCCCCGGGCUCAACCUGGGAACUGCCUUUGUGACUGCAUAGCUAGAGUACGGUAGAGGGGGAUGGAAUUCCGCGUGUAGCAGUGAAAUGCGUAGAUAUGCGGAGGAACACCGAUGGCGAAGGCAAUCCCCUGGACCUGUACUGACGCUCAUGCACGAAAGCGUGGGGAGCAAACAGG